rnacentral:rRNA from 1 species
CCUACGGGGAGCAGCAGUCGAGAAUCAUUCACAAUGGGGGAAACCCUGAUGGUGCGACGCCGCGUGGGGGAAUGAAGGUCUUCGGAUUGUAAACCCCUGUCAUGUGGGAGCAAAUUAAAAAGAUAGUACCACACGAGGAAGAGACGGCUAACUCUGUGCCAGCAGCCGCGGUAAUACAGAGGUCUCAAGCGUUGUUCGGAAUCACUGGGCGUAAAGCGUGCGUAGGCUGUUUCGUAAGUCGUGUGUGAAAGGCGCGGGCUCAACCCGCGGACGGCACAUGAUACUGCGAGACUAGAGUAAUGGAGGGGGAACCGGAAUUCUCGGGGUAGCAGUGAAAUGCGUAGAUAUCGAGAGGAACACUCGUGGCGAAGGCGGGUUCCUGGACAUUAACUGACGCUGAGGCACGAAGGCCAGGGGAGCGAAAGGGAUUAGAUACCCUGGUAGUC